GCCCGCAACAGGGGGAUAACCCGGCGAAAGUCGGACUAAUACCGCAUAAAACAGGGGUCCCGCAUGGGAAUAUUUGUUAAAGAUUUAUCGGUUGCGGAUGGGCAUGCGUACCAUUAGGUAGUUGGUGAGGUAACGGCUCACCAAGCCAUCGAUGGUUAGGGGUUCUGAGAGGAAGGUCCCCCACACUGGUACUGAGACACGGACCAGACUCCUACGGGAGGCAGCAGUGAGGAAUAUUGGUCAAUGGGCGAGAGCCUGAACCAGCCAAGUCGCGUGAAGGAUGACUGCCCUAUGGGUUGUAAACUUCUUUUACAAGGGAAUAAAAUGAGAUACGUGUAUUUUAUUGCAUGUACCUUGGGAAUAAGCAUCGGCUAACUCCGUGCCAGCAGCCGCGGUAAUACGGAGGAUGCGAGCGUUAUCCGGAUUUAUUGGGUUUAAAGGGUGCGUAGGUGGGCUGUUAAGUCAGCGGUGAAAGUUUGUCGCUUAACGAUAAAAUUGCCGUUGAAACUGGUAGUCUUGAGUAUAGAUGAAGUAGGCGGAAUGCGUGGUGUAGCGGUGAAAUGCAUAGAGAUCACGCAGAACUCCGAUUGCGAAGGCAGCUUACUAAGGUAUAA
rnacentral:rRNA from 1 species